AACCCUGUAGUGCAGCGGUUAGCACGCCACCUUCAGAAAGGUUGAGACGCGGGAUCAAACCCCGCUCGAGUUC